rnacentral:rRNA from 1 species
CUACGGGUGGCUGCAGUGGGGAAUAUUGGACAAUGGGGGCAACCCUGAUCCAGCAAUGCCGCGUGUGUGAAGAAGGCCUGCGGGUUGUAAAGCACUUUCAGCAGCCAAGAAAAGCCUGGGGUUAAUACCCCCGGGUCUUGACGUUAACUGCAGAAGAAGCACCGGCUAACUCUGUGCCAGCAGCCGCGGUAAUACAGAGGGUGCAAGCGUUAAUCGGAAUUACUGGGCGUAAAGCGCGCGUAGGCGGUUUGUUUAGUCGGAUGUGAAAGCCCCGGGCUCAACCUGGGAAGUGCAUUCGAUACUGGCAGGCUAGAGUAUGGUAGAGGGAAGUGGAAUUCCGGGUGUAGCGGUGAAAUGCGUAGAUAUCCGGAGGAACACCAGUGGCGAAGGCGGCUUCCUGGACCAAUACUGACGCUGAGGUGCGAAAGCGUGGGGAGCAAACAGGAUUAGAUACCCUUGUAGUC